UACGUAGGGUGCAGGCGUUAAUCGGAAUUACUGGGCGUAAAGCGCGCGUAGGUGGUUUGUUAAGUUGGAUGUGAAAUCCCCGGGCUCAACCUGGGAACUGCAUCCAAAACUGGCAAGCUAGAGUAUGGUAGAGGGUGGUGGAAUUUCCUGUGUAGCGGUGAAAUGCGUAGAUAUAGGAAGGAACACCAGUGGCGAAGGCGACCACCUGGACUGAUACUGACACUGAGGUGCGAAAGCGUGGGGAGCGAACAGG
rnacentral:rRNA from 1 species